CUACGGGCGGCUCCAGCCGCGAAUCAUUUACAAUGCACGAAAGUGUGAUAAUGCGAGCCAAAGUGAUUUCCGCACAGGAAAUCUUUUCUUUAUUGUAAAAAGAUAGAGGAAUAAGGACUGGGCAAGACUGGUGCCAGCCGCCGCGGUAAUACCAGCAGUCCAAGUGGCAUCCAUUUUUAUUGGGUCUAAAACAUCCGUAGCUUGUUUAUUAAGUUCCUUGUGAAAUCCUACGUCUCAAGCGUGGGGCUGGCGAGGAAUACUGAUAGGCUAGAGACCGGUAGACGUAAGGAGUACGGUCGAGGUAGUGGUAAAAUACGUUAAUCUCGAUUGGACUAACGAUGAGCGAAGGCACCUUACGAGGACGGAUCUGACAGUGAGGGAUGAAGGCCAGGGGCGCAAAACGGAUUGAUACCCCCGUAGUC
rnacentral:rRNA from 1 species